CAAUGGGUGUAAGUCCUAUUAGAGUAAAAGUCAAAACUCUAUAGCUGAAUGGCAAUGUUGAUAGGAAACUUUGGACAUUGAAGUCCAUUAACAAAGGUACCUAUAGGGUAUCGAGCAAGUAUGCAGACCAUAACACCA
rfam:Acetohalobium arabaticum DSM 5501, complete genome.